rnacentral:rRNA from 1 species
GGAUAAUCUACCCUUAGGACUGGGAUAACCCUGGGAAACUGGGGCUAAUACCGGAUAGGCAAUUUUUCCUGCAAUGGUUUUUUGUUUAAAUGUUUUUUCGCCUAAGGAUGAGUCUGCGGCCGAUUAGGUAGUUGGUUAGGUAAUGGCUUACCAAGCCGGUGAUCGGUACGGGUUGUGAGAGCAAGAGCCCGGAGAUGGAACCUGAGACAAGGUUCCAGGCCCUACGGGGUGCAGCAGGCGCGAAACCUCCGCAAUGUGAGAAAUCGCGACGGGGGGAUCCCAAGUGCCAUUCUUAACGGGAUGGCUUUUCAUUAGUGUAAAGAGCUUUUGGAAUAAGAGCUGGGCAAGACCGGUGCCAGCCGCCGCGGUAACACCGGCAGCUCUAGUGGUAACAAUUUUUAUUGGGCCUAAAGCGUCCGUAGCCGGUUUAAUAAGUCUCUGGUGAAAUCCUGUAGCUUAACUGUGGGAAUUGCUGGAGAUACUAUUAGACUUGAGACCGGGAGAGGUUAGAGGUACUCCCAGGGUAGAGGUGAAAUUCUGUAAUCCUGGGAGGACCGCCUGUUGCGAAGGCGUCUAACUGGAACGGUUCUGACGGUGAGGGACGAAAGUUAGGGGCGCGAACCGGAUUAGAUACCCGGGUAGUCCUAACUGUAAACGAUGCGGACUUGGUGUUGGGGUGGCUUUGAGCUGCUCCAGUGCCGAAAGGGAAGCUGUUAAGUCCGCCGCCUGGGAAG